UGAAAGCCUGUGUGUUUCCAAAUGGUC
rnacentral:piRNA from 1 species